AACGAACGCUGGCGGCAUGCCUAACACAUGCAAGUCGAACGAGACCUUCGGGUCUAGUGGCGCACGGGUGCGUAACGCGUGGGAACCUGCCUUUAGGUUCGGAAUAACUCAGAGAAAUUUGAGCUAAUACCGGAUAAUGUCUUCGGACCAAAGAUUUAUCGCCUUUAGAUGGGCCCGCGUAAGAUUAGCUAGUUGGUGGGUAAAGGCCUACCAAGGCGACGAUCUUUAGCUGGUCUGAGAGGAUGAUCAGCCACACUGGGACUGAGACACGGCCCAGACUCCUACGGGAGGCAGCAGUGGGGAAUAUUGGGACAAUGGGCGAAAGCCUGAUCCAGCAAUGCCGCGUGAGUGAUGAAGGCCUUAGGGUUGUAAAGCUCUUUUACCCGAGAUGAUAAUGACAGUAUCGGGAGAAUAAGCUCCGGCUAACUCCGUGCCAGCAGCCGCGGUAAU
rnacentral:rRNA from 1 species